rnacentral:lncRNA from 1 species
CACAGCUUCUUGUGGAAAAUAAAUCCCUUGGUAGUGUUUGUGUUUCUUGUAUGUGUGUGGGACUAUUUGGCUCAAAGCAAGUUCAAGCCAAAUCAAGAGUUCCAGUGUGUGCUGAACCUAAGCAGCCUUUACCUUGAACAUAAAGAACAUGGUCCAUCGGUUCGCCUGGCCUUCCCAGCGUUUCACCAGUGAUGCAUGCCGAAAUCCAUCACACAGGAAUGCGUCACUUCAUUUGACAUGGAUCCUUGCCCAGAAACUUGGAUUGUGUUUUUGUCACUUCUAUCUCCAUUCUAACGGGACAAGAACAACAGAAGACAGAUCACCUGCAUGACAUUUCGCUUAACCUUUGGGAAGAUGAAGAGAGUGUUGAUGUGGUAAGAAUGCGCACACGAAGAUAUACCAAUAUGAGUUUUCAGUAUAAUAAUUAAAGCAUUUGUUUAGAGGGAAAGUUAGAUAACUUAUAGACUGAGGAGUUAUUAUACCACACAACUAUUGUAAAAUUUAAAAAGGUAGCUGAAUCAGUAAU